rnacentral:tRNA from 1 species
UGCAUCGGCCGGGAAUCGAACCCAGGGCGCCCGCAUCGCAGGCGAGCAUUCUACCACUGACCCAAAAGC